rnacentral:rRNA from 1 species
AACGAACGCUGGCGGCAUGCCUAACACAUGCAAGUCGAACGAGACCUUCGGGUCUAGUGGCGCACGGUUUCGUAACGCGUGGGAACCUGCCCUUAGGUUCGGAAUAACUCCCCGAAAGGGGUGCUAAUACCGGAUAAUGUCUUCGGACCAAAGAUUUAUCGCCUUUGGAUGUGCCCGCGUUGGAUUAGCUAGUUGGUAGGGUAAAAGCCUACCAAGGCGACGAUCCAUAGCUGGUCUGAGAGGAUGAUCAGCCACACUGGGACUGAGACACGGCCCAGACUCCUACGGGAGGCAGCAGUGGGGAAUAUUGGACAAUGGGCGAAAGCCUGAUCCAGCAAUGCCGCGUGAGUGAUGAAGGCCUUAGGGUUGUAAAGCUCUUUUACCCGGGAUGAUAAUGACAGUACCGGGAGAAUAAGCUCCGGCUAACUCCGUG